GACGAACGCUGGCGGCGUGCUUAACACAUGCAAGUCGAACGGAAAGGCCCCUUUGGGGGUACUCGAGUGGCGAACGGGUGAGUAACACGUGAGUAACCUGCCCUUGACUUCGGGAUAACUUCAGGAAACUGGGGCUAAUACCGGAUAGGAAUCCUUGCUGCAUGGUGGGGGUUGGAAAGCUUCGGCGGUUUUGGAUGGACUCGCGGCUUAUCAGCUUGUUGGUGGGGUAGUGGCUUACCAAGGCUUUGACGGGUAGCCGGCCUGAGAGGGCGACCGGCCACAUUGGGACUGAGAUACGGCCCAGACUCCUACGGGAGGCAGCAGUGGGGAAUAUUGCACGAUGGGCGGAAGCCUGAUGCAGCAACGCCGCGUGCGGGAUGACGGCCUUCGGGUUGUAAACCGCUUUCAGCAGGGGCGAAGCUUUUGUGACGGUACCUGCAGAAGAAGCACCGGCUAACUACGUG
rnacentral:rRNA from 1 species